GAUGAACGCUGGCGGCGUGCCUAAUACAUGCAAGUCGAGCGAACGGACGAGGAGCUUGCUUCUCUGACGUUAGCGGCGGACGGGUGAGUAACACGUGGAUAACCUACCUAUAAGACUGGGAUAACUUCGGGAAACCGGAGCUAAUACCGGAUAAUAUAUUGAACCGCAUGGUUCAAAAGUGAAAGACGGUUUUGCUGUCACUUAUAGAUGGAUCCGCGCUGCAUUAGCUAGUUGGUAAGGUAACGGCUUACCAAGGCAACGAUGCGUAGCCGACCUGAGAGGGUGAUCGGCCACACUGGAACUGAGACACGGUCCAGACUCCUACGGGAGGCAGCAGUAGGGAAUCUUCCGCAAUGGGCGAAAGCCUGACGGAGCAACGCCGCGUGAGUGAUGAAGGUCUUCGGAUCGUAAAACUCUGUUAUUAGGGAAGAACAAAUGUGUAAGUAACUAUGCACGUCUUGACGGUACCUAAUCAGAAAGCCACGGCUAACUACGUG
rnacentral:rRNA from 1 species